rnacentral:sRNA from 1 species
UGCGCCUGCGAUGGAGGCAGCCUUACCCAGAUUCAGACGUUUUGCAGGCAACGGGGCAAGGUAUCCUCUCGUGAUCCGCAAUUUUGCGGAUUCAAAAUCAUUC